ACCUGCUCAUGCAGGCUAGAGAAACUUCAGAGGAGUUUGUAAGUUGAAACACUCUUGUCACGCCCAGGAAUUUUUAUUAACUGGAGCUGCAAGUUAACUCCUUCUCCGAGAGAAAUGGUGAUGGGGAGAGCCCCCCGUAAAGUCAGAGGUGUAGGUGAGAGCAUAAAACAGACUCUGGUGUUGGGGGUAGAUGCUCGGGAACAGGGGGUUUCCUGAGGCUUGAUCUCGCCUUUGCGUAAUGCUGAGCCUCCUUCCUCAUGACUUUGCCAUGGGCGGAGUUCCUCAAGCUGGCUCCCGGCAGCCUAGCACAUUACAAGUGGAGAUGGUGAAGUACAGAGAAGCCUGGUGUCCUGCAGUCCAUGGGGUCUCAAAGAGUCGGACGUGACCGAGCAACUGAACGACAAUCAAUCCAGGACCUAACCUAUCCCAGUGCACAUCCAUAAGUAGCACUCAGUAGAAAUUUGCUGUAACUCUAUCCAAAAAAAUGAUGAAGAGGGAAGUUGGCCUGAUGUUAAGGUGGACUUAAGAGUGUUGUUGUUUUCAAGUGGUGUCACUGCAGAUCAAUAAUUCUUUGCUUAGACUUUGGAAUUUAGUGACUUGAUCACAUCAAUUCAUUUAGAGACAGUAAGAGUUUGAAGCAGUGAACCACAUGAAAGAACUCAUGAAUCUGAAAGUUUCAGAAAUUCUCAUUCUGCCCUUGGGUAGGUUCUAUAUGAGUACAGGAGAAGUAGGGCUGCCAUGUAGGGGUGUGCAGGUUGUACACAGAACAACUGGCAGGGGCCCCAUUUACAUGGACUACUGUGCAAAUGAUGUCCUUAGAGUUGUGCUGGAGAAGGCAAUGGCAACCCACUCCAGCACUCUUGCCUGGAGAACCCGUCCCCCAGUCUUAUGCAGCAACUUAGAAGUAUUGCUUAGCGGCCAUAGAACUGAAGGAGGUGAAUGUUCUUAAGAAAAAUUACCAUAAGUUUAUAAGAUCUUGAUUGCCACUCAUCACCUUUAUGUGAAGUUUUGUAUACACAGUAGAAAUUAUUAGAUUUACUUUUUUUUCUAGACCAUAGUGGAAGUGUAAUACCAAUUUUGCCCUGUAGAAUCCAGUAAGAAUAACUAGUAUUUCCUGACUGUUUACUAAGUGUUAGGGAUUAGUUUAAGAAUACCAUGUUUUAAAAAUUAACCUUCAGAACCAUCCUAUAAGGUAGGUAACUAUUAUUCUGGUAGAGAUAAGGAAAUGAAGACACAAAAAUAUUAACUGAUAUAUCCAGCAUAAGUGGAAGUAAGGAAAGUACAUGAAUUAUGCUUGGCGCAUGGCUAGUACUAAAUAGAGAGGUAACUGUGACUGCAGCAAGUUAAUCUCGGUAUUUUAUGUUGCUCCAGAAUUGACUCCAUCUUGAAGGGAGACCUUUUUUUGUUUGUUUUUUAAUGUUAUUCAUAAGUUUAAAUUCAUCAACAAUCCCUCUACACACUGAAAAAAUAAAAGCAGGUGAAUUACAUAGAAGAGUGCUUGAUUUUUAUCUGUGACCCUGGCAAAUAACACCAAACAAAAAUGAUAGGGUUUUCAUGCAAAAUGACAUGUAUAUUGGUUAUGGGAAAAAAACCCAAAACUCUGCCAGUUGAAUCAUCCUAAAUAGGAAGUAGAGGAUAUAACUAUAAGAAAGAACUCUUUGGCUUCUCCUCACACUUGACCUUGAGAUGUUUCCAAGCUUCAGGGAAGAAUUGAAUUUCUUUGGCCAGUUGUGAUUUUUGUUAAAUUCUCUUUUCACACAGUGACUAUUUUCUUG
ensembl:lncRNA